AAUGCGUAGAGAUCAGGAAGAACACCGGUGGCGAAAGCGCUCUGCUGGGCUACAACUGACACUGAGGGACGAAAGCUAGGGGAGCGAAUGGGAUUAGAUACCCCAGUAGUCCUAGCGGUAAACGAUGGAAACUAGGUGUGGCCUGUAUCGACCCGGGCCGUGCCGGAGCAAACGCGUUAAGUUUCCCGCCUGGGGAGUACGCACGCAAGUGUGAAACUCAAAGGAAUUGACGGGGGCCCGCACAAGCGGUGGAGUAUGUGGUUUAAUUCGAUGCAACGCGAAGAACCUUACCAGGACUUGACAUCUCUGGAAUCUCUCUGAAAGGAGAGAGUGCC
rnacentral:rRNA from 1 species